GGUUAAGCGACUAAGCGUACACGGUGGAUGCCCUGGCAGUCAGAGGCGAUGAAGGACGUGCUAAUCUGCGAAAAGCGUCGGUAAGGUGAUAUGAACCGUUAUAGCCGGCGAUGUCCGAAUGGGGAAACCCAGUGCAAUUCGUUGCACUAUCGUUAACUGAAUACAUAGGUUAACGAGGCGAACCGGGGGAACUGAAACAUCUAAGUACCCCGAGGAAAAGAAAUCAACCGAGAUUCCCCCAGUAGCGGCGAGCGAACGGGGAGCAGCCCGGAGUCUGAAUCAGCUUGUGUGUUAGUGGAAGCGUCUGGAAAGUCGCAGGGUACAGGGUGAUACUCCCGUACACUAAAACACACAGGUUGUGAACUCGAAGAGUAGGGCGGGACACGUGGUAUCCUGUCUGAAUAUGGGGGGACCAUCCUCCAAGGCUAAAUACUCCUGACUGACCGAUAGUGAACCAGUACCGUGAGGGAAAGGCGAAAAGAACCCCGGCGAGGGGAGUGAAAAAGAACCUGAAACCGUGUACGUACAAGCAGUAGGAGCCCACUAGUUGGGUGACUGCGUACCUUUUGUAUAAUGGGUCAGCGACUUAUAUUCUGUAGCAAGGUUAACCGUAUAGGGGAGCCGCAGGGAAACCGAGUCUUAACUGGGCGUUAAGUUGCAGGGUAUAGACCCGAAACCCGGUGAUCUAGCCAUGGGCAGGUUGAAGGUUGGGUAACACUAACUGGAGGACCGAACCGACUAAUGUUGAAAAAUUAGCGGAUGACUUGUGGCUGGGGGUGAAAGGCCAAUCAAACCGGGAGAUAGCUGGUUCUCCCCGAAAGCUAUUUAGGUAGCGCCUCGUGAACUCAUCUUCGGGGGUAGAGCACUGUUUCGGCUAGGGGGUCAUCCCGACUUACCAACCCGAUGCAAACUACGAAUACCGAAGAAUGUUAUCACGGGAGACACACGGCGGGUGCUAACGUCCGUCGUGAAGAGGGAAACAACCCAGACCGCCAGCUAAGGUCCCAAAGUCAUGGUUAAGUGGGAAACGAUGUGGGAAGGCCCAGACAGCCAGGAUGUUGGCUUAGAAGCAGCCAUCAUUUAAAGAAAGCGUAAUAGCUCACUGGUCGAGUCGGCCUGCGCGGAAGAUGUAACGGGGCUAAACCAUGCACCGAAGCUGCGGCAGCGACACUAUGUGUUGUUGGGUAGGGGAGCGUUCUGUAAGCCGUUGAAGGUGGCCUGUGAGGGUUGCUGGAGGUAUCAGAAGUGCGAAUGCUGACAUAAGUAACGAUAAUGCGGGUGAAAAACCCGCACGCCGGAAGACCAAGGGUUCCUGUCCAACGUUAAUCGGGGCAGGGUGAGUCGACCCCUAAGGCGAGGCCGAAAGGCGUAGUCGAUGGGAAACAGGUUAAUAUUCCUGUACUCGGUGUUACUGCGAAGGGGGGACGGAGAAGGCUAUGUUGGCCGGGCGACGGUUGUCCCGGUUUAAGCAUGUAGGCGGAUGUUCCAGGUAAAUCCGGAACGUUAUUAACGCUGAGGUGUGAUGACGAGGCACUACGGUGCUGAAGUGACAAAUGCCCUGCUUCCAGGAAAAGCCUCUAAGCAUCAGGUAACAUCAAAUCGUACCCCAAACCGACACAGGUGGUCAGGUAGAGAAUACCAAGGCGCUUGAGAGAACUCGGGUGAAGGAACUAGGCAAAAUGGUGCCGUAACUUCGGGAGAAGGCACGCUGAUGGUAGGUGAAGUGACUUGCUCAUGGAGCUGAAAUCAGUCGAAGAUACCAGCUGGCUGCAACUGUUUAUUAAAAACACAGCACUGUGCAAACACGAAAGUGGACGUAUACGGUGUGACGCCUGCCCGGUGCCGGAAGGUUAAUUGAUGGGGUUAUCCGUAAGGAGAAGCUCUUGAUCGAAGCCCCGGUAAACGGCGGCCGUAACUAUAACGGUCCUAAGGUAGCGAAAUUCCUUGUCGGGUAAGUUCCGACCUGCACGAAUGGCGUAAUGAUGGCCAGGCUGUCUCCACCCGAGACUCAGUGAAAUUGAACUCGCUGUGAAGAUGCAGUGUACCCGCGGCAAGACGGAAAGACCCCGUGAACCUUUACUAUAGCUUGACACUGAACACUGGUCCUUGAUGUGUAGGAUAGGUGGGAGGCUUUGAAGUGUGGACGCCAGUCUGCAUGGAGCCAUCCUUGAAAUACCACCCUUUAAUGGCUGGUGUUCUAACGUGGGCCCCUAAUCGGGGUUGCGGACAGUGUCUGGUGGGUAGUUUGACUGGGGCGGUCUCCUCCUAAAGAGUAACGGAGGAGCACGAAGGUCAGCUAAUCCUGGUCGGACAUCAGGAGGUUAGUGCAAUGGCAUAAGCUGGCUUGACUGCGAGCGUGACGGCGCGAGCAGGUGCGAAAGCAGGUCAUAGUGAUCCGGUGGUUCUGAAUGGAAGGGCCAUCGCUCAACGGAUAAAAGGUACUCCGGGGAUAACAGGCUGAUACCGCCCAAGAGUUCAUAUCGACGGCGGUGUUUGGCACCUCGAUGUCGGCUCAUCACAUCCUGGGGCUGAAGUAGGUCCCAAGGGUAUGGCUGUUCGCCAUUUAAAGUGGUACGCGAGCUGGGUUUAGAACGUCGUGAGACAGUUCGGUCCCUAUCUGCCGUGGGCGCUGGAGAAUUGAGGGGGGCUGCUCCUAGUACGAGAGGACCGGAGUGGACGCAUCACUGGUGUUCGGGUUGUCAUGCCAAUGGCAUUGCCCGGUAGCUAAAUGCGGAAGAGAUAAGUGCUGAAAGCAUCUAAGCACGAAACUUGCCCCGAGAUGAGUUCUCCCUGACUCCUUGAGAGUCCUGAAGGAACGUUGAAGACGACGACGUUGAUAGGCCGGGUGUGUAAGCGCAGCGAUGCGUUGAGCUAACCGGUACUAAUGAACCGUGAGGCUUAACCUU
rnacentral:rRNA from 1 species